GGAGUUUAAUGUCAACGGUGGUAUGAACAAGUUUCUCCCAUUCCAGUCCGACAGGAAAUGGUACCACCUGGUCAGAUGCGCCCUAGCCUGAAUGUUCAGUGUAACCCUGCUGUUGUUGUUGGGUAAGUUGGGUAACAAACCGAGUAGACGUGAGAUGAACGCUCGUCUCAUGGCGAAGUUGUUGAUGAUAUGCCAUGUGCUUAGUUGUCUGAGUAACAAUGGAUUGAUGACCCUGACCAUG